GACGAACGCUGGCGGCGUGCCUAAUACGUGCAAGUAGAACGCACAGUUUAUACCGUAGCUUGCUACACCAUAGACUGUGAGUUGCGAACGGGUGAGUAACGCGUAGGUAACCUGCCUGGUAGCGGGGGAUAACUAUUGGAAACGAUAGCUAAUACCGCAUAAUAUUAAUUAUUGCAUGAUAAUUGAUUGAAAGAUGCAACUGCAUCACUACCAGAUGGACCUGCGUUGUAUUAGCUAGUAGGUGAGGUAACGGCUCACCUAGGCGACGAUACAUAGCCGACCUGAGAGGGUGAUCGGCCACACUGGGACUGAGACACGGCCCAGACUCCUACGGGAGGCAGCAGUAGGGAAUCUUCGGCAAUGGACGAAAGUCUGACCGAGCAACGCCGCGUGAGUGAAGAAGGUUUUCGGAUCGUAAAGCUCUGUUGUAAGAGAAGAACGGGUGUGAGAGUGGAAAGUUCACACUGUGACGGUAUCUUACCAGAAAGGGACGGCUAACUACGUG
rnacentral:rRNA from 1 species